rnacentral:rRNA from 1 species
UACGGGGGGGGCAAGCGUUGUUCGGAAUUACUGGGCGUAAAGGGCUCGUAGGCGGCCAACUAAGUCGGAUGUGAAAUCCCCAGGCUCAACUUGGGAACUGCAUCCGAUACUGGAUGGCUUGAAUCCGGGAGAGGGAUGCAGAAUUCCAGGUGUAGCGGUGAGAUGCGUAGAUAUCUGGAGGAAUACCGGUGGCGAAGGCGGCAUCCUGGACCGGCAUUGACGCUGAUGAGCGAAAGCUAGGGGAGCAAACGGG